CCCAGACUCCUACGGGAGGCAGCAGUGGGGAAUAUUGCACAAUGGGGGAAACCCUGAUGCAGCGACGCCGCGUGAGUGAAGAAGUAUUUCGGUAUGUAAAGCUCUAUCAGCAGGGAAGAAAAUGACGGUACCUGAUUAAGAAGCCCCGGCUAACUACGUGCCAGCAGCCGCGGUAAUACGUAGGGGGCAAGCGUUAUCCGGAUUUACUGGGUGUAAAGGGAGCGUAGACGGUGAUGCAAGUCAGAAGUGAAAGCCCGGGGCUCAACUCCGGGACUGCUUUUGAAACUGUGUGACUGGAGUGCAGGAGAGGUAAGCGGAAUUCCUGGUGUAGCGGUGAAAUGCGUAGAUAUCAGGAGGAACACCAGUGGCGAAGGCGGCUUACUGGACUGUAACUGACGUUGAGGCUCGAAAGCGUGGGGAGCAAACAGGAUUAGAUACCCGAGUA
rnacentral:rRNA from 1 species